rnacentral:SRP_RNA from 2 species
GCCGGGCGUGGUGGCGGACGCCUGUAAUCCCAGCUACUCGGGAGGCUGAGACGGAGAAUUGCUUGAACCCAGGAGGCGGAGGUUGCAGUGAGCCGAGAUUACACCACUGCACUCUAGCCUGGGCGACAGAGCGAGACUCCGUCUCAA